rnacentral:rRNA from 1 species
GACGAACGCUGGCGGCGUGCUUAACACAUGCAAGUCGAACGGUAAGGCCCUUCGGGGUACACGAGUGGCGAACGGGUGAGUAACACGUGGGUGAUCUGCCCUGCACUUCGGGAUAAGCCUGGGAAACUGGGUCUAAUACCGGAUAGGACCACUGCCUGCAUGGGUGGUGGUGGAAAGCUUUUGCGGGUUGGGAUGGGCCCGCGGCCUAUCAGGUUGUUGGUGGGGUGAUGGCCUACCAAGGCGACGACGGGUAGCCGGCCUGAGAGGGUGACCGGCCACACUGGGACUGAGAUACGGCCCAGACUCCUACGGGAGGCAGCAGUGGGGAAUAUUGCACAAUGGGCGCAAGCCUGAUGCAGCGACGCCGCGUGAGGGAUGACGGCCUUCGGGUUGUAAACCUCUUUCAGCACCGACGAAGCGCAAGUGACGGUAGGUGCAGAAGAAGGACCGGCCAACUACGUGCCAGCCGCCGCGGUAA